UACGUAGGGUGCGAGCGUUGUCCGGAAUUACUGGGCGUAAAGAGCUCGUAGGUGGUUUGUCGCGUUGUUCGUGAAAACCGGGGGCUUAACCCUCGACGUGCGGGCGAUACGGGCAGACUGGAGUACUGCAGGGGAGACUGGAAUUCCUGGUGUAGCGGUGGAAUGCGCAGAUAUCAGGAGGAACACCGGUGGCGAAGGCGGGUCUCUGGGCAGUAACUGACGCUGAGGAGCGAAAGCGUGGGGAGCGAACAGG
rnacentral:rRNA from 1 species